CUUCCCUCCCGAGGCCCCCACCUCGCCACCGCCUCCCAUUGUCCCGUCGCCCUCGAAACUCUCCCAGAGACGGGCGAGUUGUCCACCUGUGCAGGUCUGAACUGACUUCCUGUGCCAGGGCCUCGCCUGAGCGGGGGCAGGAAGCUCACCCUUGCAGGUCUCCCCGCGCCAACGGACGCCCUGAGGCCUGACCCUGGCUGAGGCAGAGCACCCAGCUCCGUGGACCGGGACGGACGGGCUCAGGUGCCCCCCAUUCCUUCCGAAGCCGGUUCACACCCACCCGGGCCUGGCACAGGGGAGGCGCUGGCUGCAGGGUCGGGGCGGGAGCAGCCUCAACCCGGCUCCUGGGCCGCGGCCGCAGCAGUGGAACCUGUCGGGGCAGGUAAGGGCGGGCAGCGGGGAGGCUGAGGCGCAGGGGGAGGCGGCUCCCUGCAGGGGGGCCCUCGCCAGCCCCCGCCGUGGCCGACGUGGGGCAGGGGCGCAGGUGACAGAUGGGCUGUCGCCAGCCUGGCCAGCGUCCAGGGGAGCUCCGGUCACUGCAGACACAGGCUGGAGCGGGUCCUUCCCCCCCCCAGGGAAAGGUGGGCCCCUGCGCAGAUGCGGCUGGGUUUCGGGUGUGGAGCCAUCUUGGACCCACGGGCUGCGUCUUCCGGGCACGGGCACAGUGUGUGGGCUCCAGGCAUGGGGUGCCCUCAGGGCAGGGCCUGGGCAGAGGGCAGGCUCCGAGAGGGGUCACGUUCUUGCCGCCUACCUGACAGCAGGCCUUCUAGAAAGUUCUCUCCAGAAGCAGCCACCGCCGUCCUGAGGCACUUUGUGCGGAGACGGGAAGCUGUCGCCUCAGAGUACGGUGGCCGCAGCCGGGAACAAGGUCCGACCCACCGAGGCCCAGCCUU
rnacentral:lncRNA from 10 species